rnacentral:rRNA from 1 species
CCUACGGGAGGCAGCAGUGGGGAAUUUUGGACAAUGGGGGCAACCCUGAUCCAGCCAUGCCGCGUGUGUGAAGGAGGCCUUCGGGUUGUAAAGCACUUUCGGCCGGAACGAAAUCGCGCGAUCUAAUAAGUCGCGUGGAUGACGGUACCGGAAGAAGAAGCACCGGCUAACUACGUGCCAGCAGCCGCGGUAAUACGUAGGGUGCGAGCGUUAAUCGGAAUUACUGGGCGUAAAGUGUGCGCAGGUGGCCGCGCAAGUCGAGUGUGAAAUCCCCGAGCUUAACUUGGGAAUUGCGCUCGAAACUACGUGGCUCGAGUGUGGCAGAGGAAGGUGGAAUUCCACGUGUAGCGGUGAAAUGCGUAGAGAUGUGGAGGAACACCAAUGGCGAAGGCAGCCUUCUGGGCCAACACUGACGCUCAUGCACGAAAGCGUGGGGAGCAAACAGGAUUAGAUACCCUGGUAGUCCACGCCCUAAACGAUGAUGACUAGUUGUUGGGGGAGUUAAAUCCCUUAGUAACGCAGCUAACGCGUGAAGUCAUCCGCCUGGGGAGUACGGUCGCAAGAUUAAAACUCAAAGGAAUUGACGG